rnacentral:rRNA from 1 species
UACAGAGGGGGCAAGCGUUGUUCGGAAUUACUGGGCGUAAAGGGUGCGUAGGCGGCGCGGUAAGUCGGGUGUGAAAUCUCGGAGCUUAACUCCGAAACUGCAUUCGAUACUGCCGUGCUUGAGGACUGGAGAGGAGACUGGAAUUUACGGUGUAGCGGUGAAAUGCGUAGAUAUCAGGAAGAACACCCGUGGCGAAGGCGGUUCUCUGGGACGGUACUGACGCUGAGACGCGAAAGCGUGGGGAGCGAACAGG